AUGAUCUCACAGGCUCAGCUCAUCUGGCUGUUAGUGCUCUGGAUCCAGGGCUCCAGUGGGCAGAUUGUGAUGACUCAGACUCCAGAAUCCCUGGCAGUGUUUCCAGGUGACAGAGUCACUAUCAAUUGCAAAGCCAGUGCAAAUAUUACAGGCACUUAUACCUACCUAGCCUGGUACCAACAGAAAUCCAGACAAGCUCCUCAACUCCUUAUCUACCAUGCUUCCACCCGUCCCUCUGGGAUCCCAGACCGGUUCAUUGGCAGUGGGUCUGGGACUGACUUUACUCUCACAAUCAACAGCGUACAAGCUGAAGAUGCAGGAGAUUAUUAUUGUCAGCAAGGCUAUGGCUGGACUUCCACAGUGAUACAGACCAACACAAAAACCUCCCUGUGCUGUUUUAUUCAGUGUAACAGCGGCUUCCUUCCUUCUCAGUGCAAAUGCUAA